rnacentral:rRNA from 1 species
GGGGAAUAUUGCACAAUGGGCGAAAGCCUGAUGCAGCGACGCCGCGUGAGGGAUGACGGCCUUCGGGUUGUAAACCUCUUUCAGCACGGAAGAAGCGAAAGUGACGGUACGUGCAGAAGAAGCGCCGGCUAACUACGUGCCAGCAGCCGCGGUAAUACGUAGGGCGCAAGCGUUAUCCGGAAUUAUUGGGCGUAAAGAGCUCGUAGGCGGUUUGUCGCGUCUGCUGUGAAAGCCCGGGGCUUAACCCCGGGUGUGCAGUGGGUACGGGCAGACUUGAGUGCAGUAGGGGAGACUGGAAUUCCUGGUGUAGCGGUGAAAUGCGCAGAUAUCAGGAGGAACACCGAUGGCGAAGGCAGGUCUCUGGGCUGUUACUGACGCUGAGGAGCGAAAGCAUGGGGAGCGAAC